GGCCUCGUAGCGCAGUUGGCAGAGCAUUGGACUAUGAGUAUCCCAAAGGUCGCGGGUUCGAUUCCCACCGUGGCCA